GAUGAACGCUGGCGGCGUGCCUAAUACAUGCAAGUCGAACGCAUUGAGAGAAGUGCUUGCACUUUUCAAUUUGAGUGGCGAACGGGUGAGUAACACGUGGGCAACCUACCUGAUAGCGGGGGAUAACGAGUGGAAACAUUCGCUAAUACCGCAUAACAGUAGAGAAGGCAUCUUCUUUAUUUAAAAGGCGUUUUCAAGCGUCACUAUCAGAUGGGCCCGCGGUGCAUUAGUUAGUUGGUGGGGUGCAGGCCUACCAAGACGAGGAUGCAUAGACGAUUGGAAAGACUGAUGGGCCACAUUGGGCUUGAGACACGGCCCAAACUCCUUCGGGAUGAUGCAGUAGGGAAUCUGCCACAAUGGACGAAAGUCUGAUUGAUCAACGCCGCGUGUGUGAUGAAGGCUUUCGGGUCGUAAAGCCCUCUUGUAUGGGAAGAAAUGCUAGGCUAGGAAAUGAGCUUAGUUUGACGGUACCAUACCAGAAAGGGACGGCUAAAUACGUGCCAGCAGCCGCCGUAA
rnacentral:rRNA from 1 species